rnacentral:rRNA from 1 species
AGUGAACGCUGGCGGUAGGCCUAACACAUGCGAGUCGAACGGCAGCACAGUAAGAGCUUGCUCUUACGGGUGGCGAGUGGCGGACGGGUGAGGAAUACAUCGGAAUCUACUUUUUCGUGGGGGAUAACGUAGGGAAACUUACGCUAAUACCGCAUACGACCUACGGGUGAAAGCAGGGGAUCUUCGGACCUUGCGCGAUUGAAUGAGCCGAUGUCGGAUUAGCUAGUUGGCGGGGUAAAGGCCCACCAAGGCGACGAUCCGUAGCUGGUCUGAGAGGAUGAUCAGCCACACUGGAACUGAGACACGGUCCAGACUCCUACGGGAGGCAGCAGUGGGGAAUAUUGGACAAUGGGCGCAAGCCUGAUCCAGCCGUACCGCGUGGGUGAAGAAGGCCUUCGGGUUGUAAAGCCCUUUUGUUGGGAAAGAAAAGCAGCAGGUUAAUACCCCGCUGUUCUGACGGUACCCAAAGAAUAAGCACCGGCUAACUUCGUG